rnacentral:rRNA from 1 species
AGGCAGCAGUGGGGAAUAUCGGACAAUGGGCGCAAGCCUGAUCCAGCCAUGCCGCGUGCAGGAUGACGGUCCUAUGGAUUGUAAACUGCUUUUGUACAGGAAGAAACCCUUUCACGUGUGAAAGAUUGACGGUACUGUAAGAAUAAGGAUCGGCUAACUCCGUGUCAGCAGCCGCGGUAAUACGGAGGAUCCAAGCGUUAUCCGGAAUCAUUGGGUUUAAAGGGUCCGUAGGCGGCCAGGUAAGUCAGUGGUGAAAUCCCAUCGCUCAACGGUGGAACGGCCAUUGAUACUGCCUGGCUUGAAUUACAAGGAAGUAACUAGAAUAUGUAGUGUAGCGGUGAAAUGCUUAGAGAUUACAUGGAAUACCAAUUGCGAAGGCAGGUUACUACUUGUGGAUUGACGCUGAUGGACGAAAGCGUGGGUAGCGAACGGGAUUAGAUACCCUGGUAGUCCACGCCGUAAACGAUGGAUACUAGUUGUUGGGAGCAAUCUCAGUGGCUAAGCGAAAGUGAUAAGUAUCCCACCUGGGGAGUACGUUCGCAAGAAUGAAACUCAAAAGAAUUGACGG